ensembl:lncRNA
GGAGUCACUGCAGAGAACCAGACAAUACCAGGUUGCUUAUAAAAGGAUGCCACGUGCUUGCUGGGGGUCCCAGGUGCAACCAAAUUGCUUGCAGCUAGGAGGACCUUGAAGAGAAAUGGAAUCAGCCUGCCAAACCAAGAAGGGUUAGCACUUUUGCUAGGAGAGCUGACCACGCACAAACAGAUGAGAACCAAAACCGAGUGAAGAGGAUUGAAGAUGAACCCACAUUUUAAAAGUUCUUGUCUGCUGGAGGUGGCAUUACCUGUGACCUUGCUUCACUUCUCCAUACAUGGCUGUUAUAGCAGAAAAUCCAGCUUUCUGAAGCAUAUUUAAUGACAUAUGAUGAGACUUAUGUGAUGUGAGACCUGAGAAAACUAUGAUAGAAAGAAGCAACUCAAGCUGCAAGGAUAUUCCUCAUGUAUCAUGCAAGGAUAUUCCUCAUGUAUCAUAGACUAAGGUGUCACUAUGUUCUUCAAGCUGCUCUGCUCCUGGGCCCAAACUAUUCUCCUGCCUCAGCCUCCCAAGAAGCUGAAACUACAAGAACAUGAGACUGUACCUGGCUUGCAAACACCAUUGCUAAUAAGAAGACAUGGAUCCCUGAGGUCAGUCCCCAAUACUACAAGACAAUUUGAUAUCAUAAUAGAAUACUGCAGACACAAUGCUGAGUGAGGAAGAGUAGAAAUGGAAGACUUGGUUGAGCGGAAACUGAGUUCUUGAAAAGAGGAGAUGCUUGAUGAGGGCAUGGAUCCCUAAGGUCUGCCCCAGUACUAUAAGACAAUUUGAUGUAAGAAAACACAGCUGAUAUAAUGCUGAGUGAAGAAGAGUAUAAAUGAGAAGAUUGGUUGUGUGGAUACUGAGUUCAUGAAAGGAGGAGAUGAUUGAUGAGGCCAGGUGCAGUGACUCAUGCCUGUAAUCCCUGCACUUUGGGAGGCUGCGGCGGGCGGAUCACCUGAGGUCGGGAGUUCGAGACCAGUCUGGGAGACAGAGCAUGGAAACCUAAGGUCUGUCCCCAAAACUACAAGACUAUUUGACAUCAUAAUAAAACACUGCAGAUAUGAUGCUGAGUGAGUAAGAGUAGAAAUGGGAAGACUUGGUUGUGCAGUAACUGAGUUCUUGAAAAGAGGAGAUGCUUGAUGAGGGCAUGGAUCACGAAGGUCUGUUCCCAAUACGAGAAGACUAUUUGACAUCAUGAUAAAACACUGCAGAUACGAUGCUGAGUGAAAAAGAGUAGAAAUGGGAAGACUUGCUCGUGCAGAAACUGAGUUCUUAAAGAGAGGAGAUAGUUUAUGAGGGCAUGGAAAUCUAAGGUCUUUCCGGAAUACUACAAGAGUACUUGACAUCAUAAUAAAACACUGUAGAUAUGAUGCUGAGUAAGAGUAGAAAUGGGAAGACUUGGUUGUGCAGAAACUAAGUUAUUAAAAGGAGGAGAUGCUUGAUGAGGGUUUAAGAGCUACAUGGGCACUUAUGUUAUAGCCCCUCUAAAUAGUGGCCUCCCGCUCAACAUAUAAGGCCUAAUGACUAGGUCAGAAUAUGGAGCAAAACUCCCAGGGAACCUGGGGAGGGAGUCAGGACAACAACCACGUGGCCCGGUGCCUAGAUUUGCUCUUCUCCAAGACCUUGGGGCUUGGUCCGGAGAGCUGCCUUGGACUCUCCAAUGAAUUCAAACAGCUGCCUCUGUUACCUUGACUCGUCUCAGAUUUCGUUGGCCCGAGAUGGGUCCUGGCACUAGGAAUGUCUUUAGAAAAUAACUUAACUCUUUCAAGCAAUUGCCAAUCAGAAAAUCUUGGAAUCCUCCUAUGACCUAAAAGAAAGCUGUAGCCCAACCACCUUGAGCACAUGUUCUCAGGACCUCUUGAGACCAUGCCUUGGGCCGUGACUACUCAUAUUUGGCUUAGAAGAAACCUCUUCACAUAUGUUACAGUUUGGCUUUUUAAGUCAACAUUAAUUGGCACCCUACAUAUGGGGCCUCAGAGAAGACUCAGAACCCUGAAAGAGUCACCCAAACCCAGAGCUAAGGUACCAGCAGGGGCCCAUUGAAAGCCCCCCAACUCCAAGCUUCUUCUUGAGUGAAACUGUUGCAGGGCUUUGACUCCUGGGUACAUGUAUCUCAUCUGAAAGGGAAUCCUGACGCCUACUGAAUCUUAACAGUCAACGUUGAUAUCUGGCAUACAUGUAUCUCAUCUGAAAGGGAAUCCUGACGCCUACUGAAUCUUAACAGUCAACGUUGAUAUCUGGCAUCAAAUUCAAGUUGACCAAAGUUCCAUCUUCAGACCUGGGAGAAGAUGACAGUCAAAAUGAACUACUUUCAUGUGACACUGGACCAGGCCUAUAUACAAAGGCAUAAAUAAUCAUUGAAUAAUGUUUCAUCUAUCUAUCUUAAUAUAAUUUGUUCUAUGCCUUACUAGAUAAAUGUUUAUAGUUACCUGUGAGUUUUCUUUUCCUGCCAUUGUCAGAGCUAGGCAGGGCUUAAGUCCCUUUUGUUUAAACAUUACUAACUCGAUACAUAGCUUGCAAAAUUGGGUAAAACAACAAAGGUUACUUUUUCACUCUCUCUCUGCUUAAUAUCUCUGAAAUUUAAAACUAUUCAGAAUCCCACUGGGCCCGAUCUAUUUUCAAUGCUAAUGCUCCACUGCUAAAACUAUAUAAGCACCUUCCCUCUAGGCUCAGGCACUAUCUUGGAAGAGGUAAGUGUGUCAGAUUGUAAAGGUUGAUUUUUGAGCAACAAAAUUAAUUUAGAUCUUCCAAAUAAAAAAUGGGCACACAGAUGCCCAAACAGUUGGCAAAAUAAGAUACUUUACCUCCUGGACCAGUAUGUGGUCCUUUUUCAUCCAUCCCAACCAUAAUUUCCUCUUUCCUGUAGAAUUAAAAGAAAAUUACAAAGAGGAUAUGAACAUAUCUGCUAACAAAACCUCCUGGGUAUAGUGCUCCCAGUUAUGAGAUUUAUGCAGAUUGUUAUAUAAAGUUUUUUUAAAUCAAGCACCUUAGGACAAACUAUUAAAAAGACUGCUAAAAGCGUUGUGACACAACAAAAGUCUCUAAAUUCUGUAGCUUAAAAAAUUUUAACAAAAUACUUAUCUUUUGCAAGCUAAUUGCUACAAGUCUAUAACUAAAACAUGUAUUGACUGAUGUCUUAGGUCUCCCUAAAAUAUAGAAAACCAAGUUGUAAACCAAUCACCUUGAGCACAUGUUCUCAGGACCUCUGGAGACUGUGCCUUGGGCCAUGGUCACUCAUAUUUGGCUGAGAAUAAAAUUU